GAUUUCUGAUAUGUUUGGCCUGGCCCGCCACGGUUACGUGUGUGAGUGCCGGUGCUUGAACUAUCAUCCUUCGCAACUAUCGCACACUGCCCUUCACUGGGUGUGUUGUGUUAGAUGGUUCGAUCCUUUACUUUGAAAAAAUUAGAGUGUUUCAAGCAGGCUUUAUGCUAUGAAUACAUUAGCAUGGAAUAAUAAUUUAGGACUUCGGUUCUAUUUUGUUGGUUUCUAGGACUGAAGUAAUGAUUGAUAGGGAUAGUUGGGGGUGCUAGUAUUCAGCGGCCAGAGGUGAAAUUCUCGGAUUCGCUGAAGACUAACUUAUGCGAAAGCAUU
rnacentral:rRNA from 1 species